rnacentral:rRNA from 1 species
GACGAACGCUGGCGGCGUGCUUAACACAUGCAAGUCGAACGGAAAGGCCCUGCUUUUGUGGGGUGCUCGAGUGGCGAACGGGUGAGUAACACGUGAGUAACCUGCCCUUGACUUUGGGAUAACUUCAGGAAACUGGGGCUAAUACCGGAUAGGAGCUCCUGCUGCAUGGUGGGGGUUGGAAAGUUUCGGCGGUUGGGGAUGGACUCGCGGCUUAUCAGUUUGUUGGGGGGGUAGUGGCUUACCAAGGCUUUGACGGGUCGCCGGCCUGAGAGGGUGACCGGCCACAUUGGGACUGAGAUACGGCCCAGACUCCUACGGGAGGCAGCAGUGGGGAAUAUUGCACAAUGGGAGGAAGCCUGAUGCAGCAACGCCGCGUGCGGGAUGACGGCCUUCGGGUUGUAAACCGCUUUCGACUGUGACGAAGCGUGAGUGACGGUAAUGGGUAAAGAAGCACCGGCUAACUACGUG